GACGAACGCUGGCGGCGUGCCUAAUACAUGCAAGUCGAACGGUCUUUUCUAUGGAAGCUUGCUUCCACUGAGAAGAUAGUGGCGAACGGGUGAGUAACACGUGGGUAACCUGCCCAUAAGAGGGGGAUAACAUCCGGAAACGGGUGCUAAUACCGCAUAGUUUUUCUGAUCGCAUGAUCGGGAAAGGAAAGACGGCCUUUGUGCUGUCGCUUAUGGAUGGACCCGCGGCGUAUUAGUUAGUGGGUGAGGUAACGGCGCACCAAGACGAUGAUACGUAGCCGACCUGGGAGGGUGAUCGGCCACAUUGGGACUGAGACACGGCCCAAACUCCUACGGGAGGCAGCAGUAGGGAAUCUUCCGCAAUGGACGAAAGUCUGACGGAGCAACGCCGCGUGAGUGAAGAAGGUUUUCGGAUCGUAAAACUCUGUUGUCAGAGAAGAACAAGUCGGAGAGUAACUGCUCCGGCCUUGACGGUAUCUGACCAGAAAGCCACGGCUAACUACGUGCCAGCAGCCGCCGUAAAAC
rnacentral:rRNA from 1 species